rnacentral:rRNA from 1 species
AGAGUUUGAUCAUGGCUCAGGGUGAACGCUGGCGGCAGGCCUAAUACAUGCAAGUCGAACGGCAGCACAGCAGAGCUUGCUCUGUGGGUGGCGAGUGGCGGACGGGUGAGGAAUACGUGGGAAUCUGCCCAGUCGUGGGGGAUAACGUAGGGAAACUUACGCUAAUACCGCAUGCGCCCUUCGGGGGAAAGCCGGGGACCUUCGGGCCUGGCGCGAUUGGAUGAGCCCACGUCGGAUUAGCUAGUUGGCGGGUAAAGGCCCACCAAGGCGACGAUCCGUAGCUGGUCUGAGAGGAUGAUCAGCCACACUGGAACUGAGACACGGUCCAGACUCCUACGGGAGGCAGCAGUAGGGAAUAUUGGACAAUGGGCGCAAGCCUGAUCCAGCCAUGCCGCGUGAGUGAAGAAGGCCCUCGGGUUGUAAAGCUCUUUUGUCCGGAAAGAAAAGCGCCGGGUUAAUACCCUGGUGUCCUGACGGUACCGGAAGAAUAAGCACCGGCUAACUUCGUG